AUGACAAUGGAGGCCUUCGUCGUUGACGGAGGAACUGAUGGGACAGUUGCCCGUUGGGGAUUGCAGCCUGUCACAGGUGAUCGGUCGUGGGGGUCGUACAUGAGGUUUGCAAGCAAUCCCAAUAACUCAAUAUAUGGUCAGCCGAUGGUGUAUGUGGAGUUCAUUUCAGUCACUGAUGUUGCUGGAUGCAGUAGCAGGGGUGGUGAGGUCGAGUUGGCCAUCACAUCAGCCCUUAGCGUCGGCCCAUCGGAACCGACAGGCGGCCAGCCUGUGUAUGACACUGGAUAUUGGUUUGCGGCCGUUGACAUGAGAGAUUGCCGGAGGCGCUAG
rnacentral:rRNA from 1 species